AGUGAACGCUGGCGGUAGGCCUAACACAUGCAAGUCGAACGGCAGCACAGUAAGAGCUUGCUCUUACGGGUGGCGAGUGGCGGACGGGUGAGGAAUACAUCGGAAUCUACUUUUUCGUGGGGGAUAACGUAGGGAAACUUACGCUAAUACCGCAUACGACCUACGGGUGAAAGCAGGGGAUCUUCGGACCUUGCGCGAUUGAAUGAGCCGAUGUCGGAUUAGCUAGUUGGCGGGGUAAAGGCCCACCAAGGCGACGAUCCGUAGCUGGUCUGAGAGGAUGAUCAGCCACACUGAAACUGAGACACGGUCCAGACUCCUACGGGAGGCAGCAGUGGGGAAUAUUGGACAAUGGGCGCAAGCCUGAUCCAGCCAUACGGCGUGGGUGAAGAAGGCCUUCGGGUUGUAAAGCCCUUUUGUUGGGAAAGAAAAGCAGCAGGUUAAUACCCCGCUGUUCUGACGGUACCAAAGAAUAAGCACCGGCUAACUUCGUG
rnacentral:rRNA from 1 species